rnacentral:lncRNA from 1 species
GUACAAUAUUUUUUCACGAAAAGCAGACAUGAGAUAUGAAAUCCAUCCUUUGACUAAGAUUUCAAAUAGCGGUUGCGAAUUCAAGUUGUAUCAUUGAAGAUGUAAAAAAUUCCAAGUGCAAGAACAGGUAACUAUAGAUUGAAUAUUCAAUGAUACAGAAAGUAACAUCACAAGUUGGAGCAGUGCAGAAUUAAUGACGAUGGAGUACCAACCUGCUGAGUAUUGAUGUCAGUGCCAAAAAGCCAACACCCAAAACCCGGAUGUGAAUGAUACUAACCAACCACCAUCUCAGGUCUGCAACCAAUGGUAAACAAAAUUUGCUGAAUUAAGUAAUAUCAGAGAAGAAAGGGCAUGGCAUAGUAACAGUAAUAACAAAAACGAGUAUCAGUAUGAAGAUAUUCUUCUAGAAAUUCAGUAAAUUGAAAGAAGGGUAGAUAAUAUUGCAAUUCCUGGACCCCGUACCAAACUUUAAUCAUCAAUUUUAAAACUAAAUCAAACGAAACAAAUAGAACCACCUCAAACCCAUUAAAAGCAUAG